CAGCCGCCGCGGUAAUACGAAGGGGGCUAGCGUCGUUCGGAAUUACUGGGCGUAAAGCGCACGUAGGCGGAUAUUUAAGUCAGGGGUGAAAUCCCGGAGCUCAACUCCGGAAUUGCCUUUAAGACUGCCGAGCUAGUAGGUGAGAGAGGUAAGUGGAAUUCCGAGUGUAGAGGUGAAAUUCGUAGAUAUUCGGAAGAACACCAGUGGCGAAGGCGGCUUACUGGCUCAUUCUAGACGCUGAGGUGCGAAAGCGUGGGGAGCAAACAGGAUUAGAUAUCCCCGUAGUCCCUGUCUCUUAUAC
rnacentral:rRNA from 1 species